GGGUCAGUAGGUUGGUCGUGCACCGGUACGUACUGGUCUCACUGAUUCCUCCUUCCUGAAGAACCGUAAUGCCAUUAAUUUGGUGUUGCGGGGAAACAGGACGGUUACUUUGAAAAAAUUAGAGUGUUUAAAGCAAGCUAACGCUUGAAUACAUUAGCAUAGAAUAAUGAAAUAGGACGAUCGAUCCUAUUUUGUUGGUUUCUAGGAUUGACGUA
rnacentral:rRNA from 1 species